rnacentral:rRNA from 1 species
UGGCUCAGGAUGAACGCUAGCGGCAGGCCUAACACAUGCAAGUCGAGGGGUAACAGGGAGAGCUUGCUUUCUGCUGACGACCGGCGCACGGGUGCGUAACGCGUAUACAAUCUGCCUAUCACUGAGGGAUAGCCCGAAGAAAUUUGGAUUAAUACCUCAUAGUAUUAUAGAAUCGCAUGGUUUUAUAAUUAAAGGUUACGGUGAUAGAUGAGUAUGCGUCCUAUUAGCUAGAUGGAGAGGUAAAGGCUCCCCAUGGCUACGAUAGGUAGGGGUCCUGAGAGGGAGAUCCCCCACACUGGUACUGAGACACGGACCAGACUCCUACGGGAGGCAGCAGUGAGGAAUAUUGGACAAUGGGCGCAAGCCUGAUCCAGCCAUGCCGCGUGUAGGAAGACGGCCCUAUGGGUUGUAAACUACUUUUAUACGGGAAGAAACCUAUCCUCGUGAGGAUAGCUGACGGUACCGUAAGAAUAAGCACCGGCUAACUCCGUGCCAGCAGCCGCGGUAAUACGGAGGGUGCAAGCGUUAUCCGGAAUCAUUGGGUUUAAAGGGUCCGUAGGCGGGCUAAUAAGUCAGUGGUGAAAUGCAGGGGCUCAACUCCGGCACUGCCAUUGAUACUGUUAGUCUUGAAUUAUUGUGAAGUGGUUAGAAUAUGUAGUGUAGCGGUGAAAUGCUUAGAUAUUACAUAGAAUACCGAUUGCGAAGGCAGAUCACUAACAAUAUAUUGACGCUGAUGGACGAAAGCGUGGGUAGCGAACAGGAUUAGAUACCCUGGUAGUCCACGCCGUAAACGAUGGUUACUAGCUGUUUGGACGAAUUGACGUCUGAGUGGCCAAGCGAAAGUGAUAAGUAACCCACCUGGGGAGUACGUUCGCAAGAAUGAAACUCAAAGGAAUUGACGGGGGCCCGCACAAGCGGUGGAGCAUGUGGUUUAAUUCGAUGAUACGCGAGGAACCUUACCAGGGCUUAAAUGUAGUAUGACAGAUUUGGAAACAGAUUUUUCUUCGGACAUAUUACAAGGUGCUGCAUGGUUGUCGUCAGCUCGUGCCGUGAGGUGUCAGGUUAAGUCCUAUAACGAGCGCAACCCCUAUUGCUAGUUGCCAGCGAGUCAUGUCGGGGACUCUAGCGAGACUGCCGGUGCAAACCGUGAGGAAGGUGGGGAUGACGUCAAAUCAUCACGGCCCUUACGUCCUGGGCCACACACGUGCUACAAUGGUAGGGACAGAGAGCAGCCACCACGCGAGUGGGAGCGAAUCUAUAAACCCUAUCACAGUUCGGAUCGUAGUCUGCAACUCGACUACGUGAAGCUGGAAUCGCUAGUAAUCGCAUAUCAGCCAUGAUGCGGUGAAUACGUUCCCGGGCCUUGUACACACCGCCCGUCAAGCCAUGGAAGCUGGGGGUACCUGAAGUCGGUGACCGCAAGGAGCUGCCUAGGGUAAAACCGGUAACUGGGGCUAAGUCGUAACAAGGU